rnacentral:rRNA from 1 species
UGGGGAAUCUUGCACAAUGGGCGAAAGCCUGAUGCAGCGACGCCGCGUGCGGGAUUAAGGCCUUCGGGUUGUAAACCGCUUUCAGCAGGGACGAGGCCGCAAGGUGACGGUACCUGCAGAAGAAGCGCCGGUUAACUACGUGCCAGCAGCCGCGGUAAUACGUAGGGGGCAAGCGUUAUUCGGAUUCAUUGGGCGUAAAGCGCGCGUAGGCGGUUUGUUAGGUCAGGAGUUAAAUCUGGGGGCUCAAACCCUAUCCGCUCCUGAUACCGGCAGGCUUGAGUCUGGUAGGGGAAGGCGGAAUUCCAAGUGUAGCGGUGAAAUGCGCAGAUAUUUGGAAGAACACCGGUGGCGAAGGCGACUUACUGGGCUCAUUAUGACGCUGAGGAACGAAAGCGUGGGUAGCAAACAGG